AGCGAACGCUGGCGGCAGGCCUAACACAUGCAAGUCGAGCGCCCGUAGCAAUACGGGAGCGGCAGACGGGAGAGUAACACGUGGGAACGUACCCUUCAGUUCGGAACAACCCAGGGAAACUUGGGCUAAUACCGAAUACGUCCGUAAGGAGAAAGAUUUAUCGCUGAAGGACCGGCCCGCGUCUGAUUAGCUAGUUGGUGAGGUAAUGGCUCACCAAGGCGACGAUCAGUAGCUGGUCNGAGAGGAUGAUCAGCCUCACUGGGACUGAGACACGGCCCAGACUCCUACGGGAGGCAGCAGUGGGGAAUAUUGGACAAUGGGCGCAAGCCUGAUCCAGCCAUGCCGCGUGGGUGAUGAAGGCCCUAGGGUUGUAAAGCCCUUUCGGCGGGAAGAUAAUGACGGUACCCGCAGAAGAAGCCCCGGCUAACUUCGUGCCAGCCGCCGCAGU
rnacentral:rRNA from 1 species